rnacentral:rRNA from 1 species
GACGAACGCUGGCGGCGUGCCUAAUACAUGCAAGUAGAACGCUGAAGGAGGAGCUUGCUCUUCUGGAUGAGUUGCGAACGGGUGAGUAACGCGUAGGUAACCUGCCUGGUAGCGGGGGAUAACUAUUGGAAACGAUAGCUAAUACCGCAUAACAGUAGAUGUUGCAUGACAUUUGCUUAAAAGGUGCAAUUGCACCACUACCAGAUGGACCUGCGUUGUAUUAGCUAGUUGGUGGGGUAACGGCUCACCAAGGCGACGAUACAUAGCCGACCUGAGAGGGUGAUCGGCCACACUGGAACUGAGACACGGCCCAGACUCCUACGGGAGGCAGCAGUAGGGAAUCUUCGGCAAUGGACGGAAGUCUGACCGAGCAACGCCGCGUGAGUGAAGAAGGUUUUCGGAUCGUAAAGCUCUGUUGUAAGAGAAGAACGAGUGUGAGAGUGGAAAGUUCACACUGUGACGGUAUCUUACCAGAAAGGGACGGCUAACUACGUG